UGGGGAAUAUUGGGCAAUGGGCGCAAGCCUGACCCAGCAACGCCGCGUGAAGGAAGAAGGCUUUCGGGUUGUAAACUUCUUUUAUGAGGGACGAAAGAAAUGACGGUACCUCAUGAAUAAGCCACGGCUAACUACGUGCCAGCAGCCGCGGUAAUACGUAGGUGGCAAGCGUUAUCCGGAUUUACUGGGUGUAAAGGGCGUGUAGGCGGGACUGCAAGUCAGAUGUGAAAAUUAUGGGCUCAACCCAUAACCUGCAUUUGAAACUGUAGUUCUUGAGUGAUGGAGAGGCAGGCGGAAUUCCGUGUGUAGCGGUGAAAUGCGUAGAUAUACGGAGGAACACCAGUGGCGAAGGCGGCCUGCUGGACAUUAACUGACGCUGAGGCGCGAAAGCGUGGGGAGCAAACAGG
rnacentral:rRNA from 1 species